rnacentral:rRNA from 1 species
UCAGAUUGAACGCUGGCGGCAGGCCUAACACAUGCAAGUCGAACGGUAACAGGAAGCAGCUUGCUGCUUUGCUGACGAGUGGCGGACGGGUGAGUAAUGUCUGGGAAACUGCCUGAUGGAGGGGGAUAACUACUGGAAACGGUGGCUAAUACCGCAUAACGUCGCAAGACCAAAGAGGGGGACCUUCGGGCCUCUUGCCAUCAGAUGUGCCCAGAUGGGAUUAGCUUGUUGGUGAGGUAACGGCUCACCAAGGCGACGAUCCCUAGCUGGUCUGAGAGGAUGACCAGCCACACUGGAACUGAGACACGGUCCAGACUCCUACGGGAGGCAGCAGUGGGGAAUAUUGCACAAUGGGCGCAAGCCUGAUGCAGCCAUGCCGCGUGUAUGAAGAAGGCCUUCGGGUUGUAAAGUACUUUCAGCGGGGAGGAAGGUGUUGUGGUUAAUAACCGCAGCAAUUGACGUUACCCGCAGAAGAAGCACCGGCUAACUCCGUGCCAGCAGCCGCGGUAAUACGGAGGGUGCAAGCGUUAAUCGGAAUUACUGGGCGUAAAGCGCACGCAGGCGGUCUGUCAAGUCGGAUGUGAAAUCCCCGGGCUCAACCUGGGAACUGCAUUCGAAACUGGCAGGCUUGAGUCUUGUAGAGGGGGGUAGAAUUCCAGGUGUAGCGGUGAAAUGCGUAGAGAUCUGGAGGAAUACCGGUGGCGAAGGCGGCCCCCUGGACAAAGACUGACGCUCAGGUGCGAAAGCGUGGGGAGCAAACAGGAUUAGAUACCCUGGUAGUCCACGCCGUAAACGAUGUCUACUUGGAGGUUGUGCCCUUGAGGCGUGGCUUCCGGAGCUAACGCGUUAAGUAGACCGCCUGGGGAGUACGGCCGCAAGGUUAAAACUCAAAUGAAUUGACGGGGGCCCGCACAAGCGGUGGAGCAUGUGGUUUAAUUCGAUGCAACGCGAAGAACCUUACCUGGUCUUGACAUCCACAGAAGAAUCCAGAGAUGGAUUUGUGCCUUCGGGAACUGUGAGACAGGUGCUGCAUGGCUGUCGUCAGCUCGUGUUGUGAAAUGUUGGGUUAAGUCCCGCAACGAGCGCAACCCUUAUCCUUUGUUGCCAGCGGUUAGGCCGGGAACUCAAAGGAGACUGCCAGUGAUAAACUGGAGGAAGGUGGGGAUGACGUCAAGUCAUCAUGGCCCUUACGACCAGGGCUACACACGUGCUACAAUGGCGCAUACAAAGAGAAGCGACCUCGCGAGAGCAAGCGGACCUCAUAAAGUGCGUCGUAGUCCGGAUUGGAGUCUGCAACUCGACUCCAUGAAGUCGGAAUCGCUAGUAAUCGUGGAUCAGAAUGCCACGGUGAAUACGUUCCCGGGCCUUGUACACACCGCCCGUCACACCAUGGGAGUGGGUUGCAAAAGAAGUAGGUAGCUUAACCUUCGGGAGGGCGCUUACCACUUUGUGAUUCAUGACUGGGGUGAAGUCGUAACAAGGUAACCGUAGGGGAACCUGCGGUUGGAUCACCUCCUUACCUUAAAGAAGC